AUUGAACGCUGGCGGCAGGCCUAACACAUGCAAGUCGAGCGCGAAAGGCUUUCGGGCUGAGUAGAGCGGCGGACGGGUGAGUAACGCGUAGGAAUCUACCUGGUAGUGGGGGACGAACUUGGGGAAACGUCAAGCUAAUACCGCAUACGCCCCAACGGGGGAAAGGCGGGGGACCGUUCGGGCCGUCGCGCUAUCAGAUGAGCCUGCGUAGGAUUAGCUAGUUGGUGAGGUAAAGGCUCACCAAGGCGACGAUCCUUAGCUGGUCUGAGAGGAUGAUCAGCCACACUGGGACUGAGACACGGCCCAGACUCCUACGGGAGGCAGCAGUGGGGAAUAUUGCGCAAUGGGGGCGAACCCUGACGCAGCCAUGCCGCGUGUGUGAAGAAGGCC
rnacentral:rRNA from 1 species